CAAAACCCCAUGAUAUGAGGAGCACACCAAUCUGCAUCUACUGAGCACAUGCUACUUUAACAAAGAGCAAGAUAACAUUUUCCCUCAGAAAAAAGUGCUGAUAUCAUAUCUGACCUUUCCAGAGAAAGCAGGUGAAAACAUCCCUGCUUUAAAGAAUAGGCAACAAAACCACAGAAUUUAGAGUCUUUACUAUUUGCCUGAAAGACAAACCGGAAGACCAAUCUCCUGACUGGUCUGGCACUCUGCUGCUUCCUUGUCAACAGUGAAGCAAGAAAACCCAUGCAAGCCCAAGAUGCAAUGGGUCAAGGGCUGGUUCUUUCUCCUUGUGAUUUUGGUAAUCUCUGUUUUCUUUCCUCUCUCCCCUUUUAUACAUACAGUAUUUUCUCUUCAGUGUUUAGGUAUAGACUUUGGAUUCAACAA